rnacentral:rRNA from 1 species
AUUGAACUCUUGCGGCAGGCUUAACACAUGCAAGUCGAGCGAGCUGCGGACGGGUGAGUAAUGUCUGGGAAACUGCCUGAUGGAGGGGGAUAACUACUGGAAACGGUAGCUAAUACCGCAUACCAUCAGAUGUGCCCAGAUGGGAUUAGCUAGUAGGUGGGGUAAUGGCUCACCUAGGCGACGAUCCCUAGCUGGUCUGAGAGGAUGAUCCGCCAGACUGGGACUGAGACACGGCCCAGACUCCUACGGGAGGCAGCAGUGGGGAAGAUUGGACAAUGGGCGAAAGCCUGAGGCAGCCAGGCCGCGUGUAUGAAGAAGGCCUUCGGGUUGUAAAGUACUUUCAGUAGGGAGGCGUUACCGACAGAAGAAGCACCGGCUAACUCCGUGCCAGCAGCCGCGGUAAUUC